CAAGACGUAGCUUAAUAAAAGCAUUCAGCUUACGCCUGAAAGAUAUCUGCCCACAUCAGAUCGUCUUGA
rnacentral:tRNA from 1 species